rnacentral:snoRNA from 1 species
UUCCUCCUCUCCCAGUACAGCCCAGUGCUUCAUACUGGGUGUGUGUGUGGUCUGAGGAGGCAGAGAAGAGCAGUGGCGUUACCCAUUCCACCCUCGGCUGCAGCGUAGCUCUGAGGUGGAAGAGAUCCCUGCGACAAAA